GAGUUUGAACCUGGCUCAGGAUGAACGCUGGCGGCGUGCUUAAUACAUGCAAGUCGAACGAAGCACCUCUCCCGUUGAUUGACCUAGCUUGCUAGAGAUUGAAACAAUUGAGGUGACUGAGUGGCGGACGGGUGAGUAACGCGUGGGUAACCUGCCUUGUACAGGGGGAUAACAGUUGGAAACGACUGCUAAUACCGCAUAAGCGCACAGUAUCGCAUGAUACAGUGUGAAAAACUCCGGUGGUACAAGAUGGACCCGCGUCUGAUUAGCUAGUUGGAGGGGUAACGGCCCACCAAGGCAACGAUCAGUAGCCGACUUGAGAGAGUGAUCGGCCACAUUGGGACUGAGACACGGCCCAAACUCCUACGGGAGGCAGCAGUAGGGAAUAUUGCACAAUGGGGGAAACCCUGAUGCAGCGACGCCGCGUGAAGGAUGAAGUAUUUCGGUAUGUAAACUUCUAUCAGCAAGGGAGAAAAUGACGGUACUUGACUAAGAAGCCCCGGCUAAAUACGUGCCAGCAGCCGCGGUAAUACGUAUGGGGCAAGCGUUAUCCGGAUUUACUGGGUGUAAAGGGAGCGUAGGCGGUACGGCAAGUCAGAAGUGAAAGCCUGGGGCUCAACCCCGGAAUUGCUUUUGAAACUGUCGAACUAGAGUGUCGGAGGGGUAAGCGGAAUUCCUAGUGUAGCGGUGAAAUGCGUAGAUAUUAGGAGGAACACCGGUGGCGAAGGCGGCUUA
rnacentral:rRNA from 1 species